rnacentral:rRNA from 2 species
CUGACUGCUAUCGGAUUGGUACUAAGCCAUGUGAGUCAUUGUAGCAAUACAAGGCAUACGGCUCAGUAACACGUAGUCAAUCUAACCUAUGGACGUGGAUAACCUCGGGAAACUGAGAAUAAUCCGCGAUAGAUCAUAAUUCCUGGAACGGUUUAUGGUCCAAAUGAUUCGUCGCCAUAGGAUGGGACUGCGGCCUAUCAGCUUGUUGGUGAGGUAAUGGCUCACCAAGGCUAUUACAGGUACGGGCUCUGAGAGGAGAAGCCCGGAGAUGGGUACUGAGACACGGACCCAGGCCCUAUGGGGCGCAGCAGGCGAGAAACCUUUGCAAUGUGCGCAAGCACGACAAGGUUAAUCCGAGUGUUUCCUGCUAAAGGAAUCUUUUGUUAGUUCUAAAACCACUGAUGAAUAAGAGGUGGGCAAGUUCUGGUGUCAGCCGCCGCGGUAAAACCAGCACCUCAAGUGGUCAGGAGGAUUAUUGGGCCUAAAGCAUCCGUAGCCGGUUCUGUAAGUUUUCGGUUAAAUCCACUAGCUUAACUAAUGGGCUGCCGAAAAUACUGCAGAACUAGGGAGUGGGAGAGGUAGACGGUACUCGGUAGGAAGGGGUAAAAUCCUUUGAUCUAUUGAUGACCACCUGUGGCGAAGGCGGUCUACCAGAACACGUUCGACGGUGAGGGAUGAAAGCUGGGGGAGCAAACCGGAUUAGAUACCCGGGUAGUCCCAGCUGUAAACGAUGCAGACUCGGUGAUGCACUGGCUUGUGGCCAGUGCAGUGCC